CGGGAAAAGAGCAGCAAUAGCAUUUUGUAGGCUACAGUCCAAGCUAUGUCUUCCAUUGGUGCGACUGCUGUCGGCAUCCAAAGAUUAUACAAUUUGAAUAAACGCUUGGAGGUGGAAGUAUUCAUUAGCAGCUCUGCAGUUCUCCUGAAGAAAAGACCGGAUCCUACCGUAUCUAAUGGCUCUGAAUCAGUGUGGCUGAAAUCCCUGCUCGGAGACAAAAAUGGAAAUGCUCUCCCUGCAAUCACAGCCUUUCAUCCAGCCCACUAGGAAAUAUCGUGUCUAUUAGCCAUUAGCUGAUCUGAUAUCCUGGUUUAGACAGCUCAGGCGUCUCUCUGUGUGGCUGUUUGGAGGGAGACUGAAGAGAUUGCAGGCUUCGACCCAUGUGUCUGUUGAUUGACUCAAAUCAACCAAACUGUGGCCCAGAUCAGGCUGUCUGGAAACAGAUGUCCAUUGGUGAUUGAUUUGAUUGGCUGUCUAAUGCAUUGCCAAAUGUGUGUGAAUGCUCUGGAAGAGUCAAGGAGUCAUGUUACGAUGUGUUUGUUAGAAACAGGUUGUAAAAAUACGUUGGCAGAUUUAAC
ensembl:lncRNA